CUUUUUGUAAUAUUCUCAAGGUGAUACCGGGCUUUAACAGAGGUGUAAAAAAUUGCAAUAAUUUUACUUAGCAAUCAAUGACUGUGCUACAAAUUGGAUUCCAAUCGAAACUAUUGCAAUUUUCACAAUCAAAACAAAUUUCAAUAUAAAGUAUAUUUUGCGAUUGUAAUCCAGUUUGAUUGAAGUAUUUUAUAGCUCUGGCUUGCACCCAGGCCCUGCGUAAUGGCAGGCCGUUCCUCUAAUCACUACACUACAGGGGUCAGCUAACUAACUACUAAAUAUUUAAAUUUAAACACUCGAACUUUCAUUCACCAGCUGCUUAAAUGCAAUCUAACUUAACAAUUUUAUAUAAAGUAAAACAAGCUUACAUAUGAACAUAGGUAUGUGCAUACAUGUGUUCCGCGGUAUGCAUAUGUAUGUACAAACACCCCACGCCCUCUUAACUCCAGUCUCCAUUCAUUCGUAUUCUGAAAAAAGUUGACGGUUAAAGUAUCGUAAUUUAUUGGUUUUUGUUGAAAGAAAUUCCAAUCUCUCUUGAGAAGGGAUACAUAAAUAACAAAAGAAAAUCAACAAUUAAGAUAAAUAUCUGUUUUGUAGAGGCAUGUAUAUAGUAAGGACUCUUUCCAAAAGCUAGAGAUAAAAAAGGUUGUUGGCUCCUGCGCUAGAAAGUAAAGACAACGCUAUUCUCCGAACUAAUUUGAAACGGAUGCAAUUAAAAAGAGUAGAAAGCGAUAAAACUGCUGCAAAAGUGACCAUAGCGGAAUAAUGUUCCUUAUACAUUAGAUACGAUUACAUGCAUCUAUGCUUGUACAAAUUAAUGAAUGAUCGGCGCAAUAUACCCAACGUAUGCACCAAAACGGAACUUACAAACUUAUGUAGUACUUUGAAAGGCGACUUUACACGGCGCCAAUA